rnacentral:lncRNA from 1 species
CAGCAUUUGUAUCUGUUUGAUGGCAGCUUCAGAUAAAUGUUUCUGACCAAUGUACAGAGCUUCAAUCAAGUCAGGGAUAAAGAGAUCCAAUAGGUAGUUGGGCUGCUGGAAGGCCUCUUUCCGGGGCCUUAAUUACACGGCCUACCAGCAUUUGUACAGUGUCCGAGAGUUUCUGCCUCUGGAUAUCCGUUUAACAUACGAUUCAUUGGCACUUGCCAGAGCUGCAUACAGCUCAGAGCUCCCCCCCCAUCUUCCGGUCUCAGUCAUCAGCUGUCAUCAGAGACGAGGGUGGGAGGGGACAAGAGAAUGCAAUCGAAAACCUUCAUCAAGCUGAGAGAGUACAAUGAAAGAGGCAGACUAAAUAAUCUGUCGUGUUCAAUUUGAGGAAAUAUGAGCCAAAGAACCGUCCAAAAACAAUCCGAACAAUGGCCGAAAACUAAGCCCCGGCCCCACAAACAAUUU